GACGAACGCUGGCGGCGUGCUUAACACAUGCAAGUCGAACGGAAAGGCCCUGCUUUUGUGGGGUGCUCGAGUGGCGAACGGGUGAGUAACACGUGAGUAACCUGCCCUUGACUUUGGGAUAACUUCAGGAAACUGGGGCUAAUACCGGAUAGGAGCUCCUGCUGCAUGGUGGGGGUUGGAAAGUUUCGGCGGUUGGGGAUGGACUCGCGGCUUAUCAGCUUGUUGGUGGGGUAGUGGCUUACCAAGGCUUUGACGGGUAGCCGGCCUGAGAGGGUGACCGGCCACAUUGGGACUGAGAUACGGCCCAGACUACUACGGGAGGCAGCAGUGGGGAAUAUUGCACACUGGGCGGCAGCCUGAUGCAGAAACGCCGCGUGCGGGAUGACGGCCUUCGGGUUGUACACCGCUUUCGCCUGUGACGAAGCGUGAGUGACGGUAAUGGGUAAAGAAGCACCGGCUAACUACGUG
rnacentral:rRNA from 1 species